rnacentral:rRNA from 1 species
GUAAUGCCGGAUGCUCCGACUCCUCGCAUGGGGUGUCGGGAAAGAUUUCAUCGGUAUGGGAUGGGGUCGCGUCCUAUCAGGUAGUCGGCGGGGUAACGGCCCACCGAGCCUACGACGGGUAGCCGGCCUGAGAGGGCGACCGGCCACAUUGGGACUGAGAUACGGCCCAGACUCCUACGGGAGGCAGCAGUGGGGAAUAUUGCACAAUGGGCGCAAGCCUGAUGCAGCGACGCCGCGUGCGGGAUGACGGCCUUCGGGUUGUAAACCGCUUUUGAUCGGGAGCAAGCCUUCGGGUGAGUGUACCUUUCGAAUAAGCACCGGCUAACUACGUGCCAGCAGCCGCGGUAAUACGUAGGGUGCAAGCGUUAUCCGGAAUUAUUGGGCGUAAAGGGCUCGUAGGCGGUUCGUCGCGUCCGGUGUGAAAGUCCAUCGCUUAACGGUGGAUCUGCGCCGGGUACGGGCGGGCUGGAGUGCGGUAGGGGAGACUGGAAUUCCCGGUGUAACGGUGGAAUGU